rnacentral:rRNA from 1 species
AUACGGAGGGUGCAAGCGUUAAUCGGAAUUACUGGGCGUAAAGCGUACGUAGGCGGUUAUUUAAGUCAGAUGUGAAAGCCCCGGGCUUAACUUGGGAACUGCAUUUGAAACUGGGUAACUAGAGUUUAGUAGAGGGGAGUGGAAUAUCAGGUGUAGCGGUGAAAUGCGUAGAGAUCUGAAGGAACACCAGUGGCGAAGGCGACUCCCUGGACUAAAACUGACGCUGAGGUACGAAAGCGUGGGUAGCAAACAGGAUUAGAAACCCGAGUAGUCC